rnacentral:rRNA from 1 species
AGCAUAUCAAUAAGCGGAGGAAAAGAAACUAACAAGGAUUCCCUUAGUAACUGCGAGUGAAGAGGGAAAAGCUCAAAUUUAAAAUCUGGCAGUGUUUCACUGUCCGAGUUGUAACCUAGAGAAGUGUAACCUGCGCUGGACCGUGUAUAAGUCUCCUGGAAUGGAGCAUCACAGAGGGUGAGAAUCCCGUCUUUGACAUGGACCACCAGUGUAUUGUGGUUGUGCUCUCAACGAGUCGAGUUGUUUGGGAAUGCAGCUCUAAAUGGGUGGUAAAUUCCAUCUAAAGCUAAAUAUUGGCGAGAGACCGAUAGCGAACAAGUACCGUGAGGGAAAGAUGAAAAGAACUUUGGAAAGAGAGUUAAACAGUAUGUGAAAUUGUUGAAAGGGAAACGUUUGAAGUCAGUCGCGUUGGUUGGGGAUCAGCCUGACAUUGUUGGGUUUACUUCCUGGUCGACGGGCCAACAUCAGUUUUGACUGCCAGAAAAAGGCCAAAGGAAUGUGGCACCCUUUGGGUGUGUUAUAGCCAUUGGUCGUAUAUGGUGGUUGGGACUGAGGAA